CUAAAAGGUGAGAGCGUCUAGCAUGCUUUGGGUAUCAGCCAUUGCAUUUUACAAAGGGAAUGGAUGAUAUAAUGGUAGUUUAAGUACAUUAAUUGGAGUUUCAUUAAGAAGAGCUCUAUGUUACCAAAACUGCGGCAUGCAUAGAUGUUAUGGGAGCAGAGUCUAACAGCAAUUAAGUAUUUAUGAAAUCAAGUAGGGCCCAGAUCAGAACCUUGGGAAGCAUCAACUUUGGGAUGAAACAUUUAAAAUUUGACUAUCUCGAUGAGUGUAAACAACCACCAACUUACACUCAAAAAUCAAUUCAUAAUUGAUUUCAGGAAAACUGAAAUGGAAGUAGAAGAGAUGAAAAACGGAGUCAGGAAGCUAUUGAAGAAACAUCUCUUCAAUUUCACCAUUUUACUCAGGAUCAAUUCUUCUCUGAAGCGCAGAACAAUACAUGGAGGCGCCAUGAGGCAGCCCAGGAGCCACCAACAACCAAGGCCUGCACCUGAAUAAGCUACAAGGACAGCUAUUAAUCAACCUCGCUGAAAUAUGCAGGCUCUACCUCAGUUGUGCUCUGAAUAAGUAAAGAAAAGGUGAGGUGACUGUAAAUGGACAUAGAGCUCAAGAGGGAACAGUUCUUCUCACUCUGAAUGGCCGCCGCUGUGAUCAUCAGCUAAGAUCGACAGGAAUUAGAAGAAAGUUGGAGAAAAGACUGGUGCCUCAAAGGUUCCAAUCAAAUGCCAUCAUCUACUGAGAUGACUGAGAUGACGCCUACUACCCUAAAGAAGUCAGGAAUGAACUGCUUCAAGGCUAAGACAUAUUUGGCUCACAUCUCUUGAUAUCGGCUAACACUGGAAUCAGCAUGGCCCAGUAGAUAAAAACAAUAAACAACACAAACAGAACAAAAUACAUAACUGAAAAUAAAGACAACUGAAUUCCAGUCCCAGCCCAGCCACUGUUGUGCUUUGUGGGUCUUGUUCUUGUACAUUUCAAAUCAAGGAGAUGGAACUCGUUUAUCUCAUUGUUGUGAAGAUGAAAAGUUGAGUAACUUGUGGAUCUGGGUGGGACUGUAUUAGGGAUUGGUAGACUAAAACAAUUGAAAUGAAAUGAUCAAUAGGAGACACUUCCAUCAAUAGUUGUUAUUCUGUGACAUCUUCUCUACUUAAGCAGCUCACCCACGAGGCAUCCAAAACAGAGAGAAAAAACAGAGUGAACAUUUUGCCUUAUGGAAUUGUCAAAAGUUGCAGUCAAAACACAGGCAAGAUUUGGAAGAAUCUGUAAUGAGCCAGGGCAAGUUUUCCUAGCUAUAGAGGCUGGGGAAGGAGAGGGAAUUAGAGAUUGGCUGUUCCUGGAAACUCUCUGCCUGUACUCCAUGACCUGAGUCCCAGGACCUGGAAGCGGCUGGACAUCUGAGCUAUAGGAGAGACUGGUGCUGCCUUUCUGAGGAGGGCUUGGGAAAACAGCAAGUUCCCUGAAUUUUUCCAUGGCACAGGAGCAGAUGAAAUGUCAUGAAUGGUGUCCAGGCCAGUGGACUGAGUUAGCUCCUGAGAGUCCCUGUACUCUCCAGCAUGGCACGAGGAGAAGCAGACCAUUCUCCCAUGCAACCAUAGGAAAAUGGUACAAACAUGACACCGAAAUUCAGCUGACCGCAAGAGCUUGAUGGUCAGUGUGAGCCAGAUGGAGCAGGAACAUGUACGGAUGGAAAACCUAGAUCCAAAGUUCAUUCCCCUCUCCUGCUGAUGUUCCAGCACAUUGCAAGCUUUCCCAGAAACUUAGAGGCAACCUUGGCACAAGGACAUGAUUUGUUGGAAAUUAAGUUUUGUCACCUGGGGGACUGUGAGCUUGAUAUGGAAAUUAAUUCAGUUAUAUAAUUAUAAAAAAAAUGUGCUUCCUACACAUCUGAUUUUGUGAACCCAAAUUAGUUUCCACAACACAACUGUAUUAACAUUUGCCAACCUCUGGUGCAACAUUUGUUGUCUUUGUUGCAUUUUUCUAGAAGUUUUCAGCUCUAACCCAUCUUUCCCUGCUUUAUUUUCAUUUCUAAAUUCUGGUGAGUGGUGUUUUGAGCAAGCUAAUGGGAGUCAAGGAUGAACAGAAAUUCCCUCUGCAGCUGAGGCAGGAGAAUUGCUUAGACCCAGGAGACGGAGUUUGCAAUG